GAUGAACGCUAGCGGCAGGCCUAAUACAUGCAAGUCGGACGGGAUUCAGGAGCUUGCUUCUGAUGAGAGUGGCGCACGGGUGCGUAACACGUAUGUAACCUACCUUUAUCAGGGGGAUAGCCUCUCGAAAGAGAGAUUAAGCCCGCAUAAAAUCACAGCACAGCAUUGUGUAAUGAUCAAAUAUUUAUAGGAUAAAGAUGGGCAUGCGGAACAUUAGCUAGAUGGCGGGGUAACGGCCCACCAUGGCGACGAUGUUUAGGGGAUCUGAGAGGAUGGCCCCCCACACUGGUACUGAGACACGGACCAGACUCCUACGGGAGGCAGCAGUAAGGAACAUUAGUCAAUGGGCGGAAGCCUGAACCAGCCAUGCCGCGUGCAGGAAGACGGCCCUACGGGUUGUAAACUGCUUUUAUACGGGAAUAAACCCAGAUACGUGUAUCUGGCUGAAUGUACUGUAAGAAUAAGGAUCGGCUAACUCCGU
rnacentral:rRNA from 1 species